rnacentral:lncRNA from 1 species
GUUCAGCCAAUUAUCACCUUAACAACCCACCUUUCACAUUAAGGAAAGGAGAAUGGUUUGAAAAUGGUAAUGAGGAGAAAGAAUGACACUGACACCAGCUCCAGGUCCCGUGGAAUGAAAUCUAUGACAGUUUCUUGCUCUGUCACCCAGGCUGGAGUGUAAUGGUGUGAUCCUAGCUCACGGCAGCCUUGAAUUCCCAGGAUCAAGUGAUUCUCCCACCUCAGCUUCUGGAGUAGCCGGGAAUACAGGUAUGUACC